rnacentral:rRNA from 1 species
GACGAACGCUGGCGGCGUGCUUAACACAUGCAAGUCGAACGAAGUGGCGGACGGGUGAGUAACGCGUGAGGAACCUGCCUUGAAGAGGGGGACAACAGUUGGAAACGACUGCUAAUACCGCAUGCUUCAAGAUGGCCUCGCGUCUGAUUAGCUGGUUGGCGGGGUAACGGCCCACCAAGGCGACGAUCAGUAGCCGGACUGAGAGGUUGAACGGCCACAUUGGGACUGAGAUACGGCCCAGACUCCUACGGGAGGCAGCAGUGGGGAAUAUUGGGCAAUGGGCGCAAGCCUGACCCAGCAACGCCGCGUGAAGGAAGAAGGCUUUCGGGUUGUAAACUUCUUUUAAGAGGGAAGCGGUACCUCUAGAAUAAGCCACGGCUAACUACGUGCCAGCAGCCGCGGUAAUACGUAGGUGGCAAGCGUUGUCCGGAUUUACUGGGUGUAAAGGGCGUGCAGCCGGGUCUGCAAGUCAGAUGUGAAAUCCAUGGGCUCAACCCAUGAACUGCAUUUGAAACUGUAGAUCUUGGGUGUCGGAGGGCAAUCGGAAUUCCUAGUGUAGCGGUGAAAUGCGUAGAUAUUAGGAGGAACACCAGUGGCGAAGGCGGAUUGCUGGACGAUAACUGACGGUGAGGCGCGAAAGUGUGGGGAGCAAACAGGAUUAGAUACCCUGGUAGUCCACACUGUAAACGAUGAAUACUAGGUGUCGGGCUGCGUGCGAGUAAACACAAUAAGUAUUCCACCUGGGGAGUACGA